AUUGAACGCUGGCGGCAGGCUUAACACAUGCAAGUCGAGCGGGGUGAUGGUGCUUGCACUAUCACUUAGCGGCGGACGGGUGAGUAAUGCUUAGGAAUCUGCCUAUUAGUGGGGGACAACAUCUCGAAAGGGAUGCUAAUACCGCAUACGGCCUACGGGAGAAAGCAGGGGAUCACUUGUGACCUUGCGCUAAUAGAUGAGCCUAGGUCGGAUUAGCUAGUUGGUGGGGUAAAGGCGUACCAAGGCGACGAUCUGUAGCGGGUAUGAGAGGAUGAUCCGCCACACUGGGACUGAGACACGGCCCAGACUCCUCCUGGAGGCAGCAGUGGGGAAUAUUGGACAAUGGGGGGAACCCUGAUCCAGCCAUGCCGCGUGUGUGAAGAAGGCCUUAUGGUUGUAAAGCACUUUAAGCGAGGAGGAGGCUCUGUUGGUUAAUACCCAAGAUGAGUGGACGUUACUCGCAGAAUAAGCACCGGCUAACUCUGUGCCAGCAGCCGCCGUAA
rnacentral:rRNA from 1 species